GUGACAGCUGGCAUCGGUUGCGCGAGGUUAGUGGGAUUAUUUAUAUAAAUAUGUAUGUGUCGUGUGAUGUGACAGCUGGCAUCGGUUGCGCGAGACGCAUGAAGCUGUUAAAAAAGACUGAUUUAUGCUGGAAUGCAGCGAUAACCUAGAAAUAAAUAGAUAGUGACAGUCGUGACCAUUGCCGCGUGAUAGAUAUAGUGAUAUAGUGAAAUAUAUAUUGACGGCAGGGAGCUGAUGCCGAUUUUCUUUAAGAAGGAAGGUGUAUCCAAAAUCGCACACGGGACUUGUGAGUUAUGCGAAGCAAUUGAUACUAUUAAGGUUCAUUGGUCAUAUGAAGUUUGCACACGUCAAGCUUGACAUCCUAAAGAUCACAAUGCAUUCUGAAAACGAUACCGUGCAGGUUCGUUGGCGUAUACGUGGUGUCAUCACAGGCUGGAAGGUAUUUUCUGUGUUUUGGAAGUAAAAUUUGGAAAAUACAACAUGUCAUAAAAUAAGCGCUAACCAGAAAAUAUGGUACGACGGCUUUUUUACGUUAAUGCUGAAUGGAAAAGUCUAUAAGCAUAUUGCGGACGAGAUGAUGCCUAAUCAGGAUACAGCCACGAAAAAGAAAGAUAUGCGCAUGGCAGGGAAAUUAGCGCUAUUCACAGGCCUUGUAAGCAUAUUUAAUAACGACGAGGAUUCAUUGAGUUAAGCUCUGUCUUGAAAUCGCAUCAAUUGAAGUGAAUCCACUGCUGAGUGCUGAAAUUAUACGAUUUUAUCCGUCACAACGAAUAGACCAAGAAGAAUGCUUUUUCCAGUCGAUGGUUUCGAAUGUUGCUGACGUAUCUAUUUCGUUGCAAAUGCAUCAUUAUGAAAUGAUGAUCGGUAGUAAAUGAGAGAUAUGUGAAUUAAAAAGAUGUGUACAUUAACUAAACAGUAUCUUUGUAUGAUUCCAAACUAUCUUCAUCUAA